GGAUUAGUACGUUAGUCGUGCCUUAGGUACGUACUGGUGUUACUGGUUCCUACCUUCUGACGAACCAUCAUGUCAUUAAUUUGGUGUGGCGGGGAAUCAGGACUGUUACUUUGAAAAAUUAGAGUGUUUAAAGCAGGUUCGCGCUUGAAUACAUUAGCAAGGAAUAAUGAAAUAGGACGUUGACCCUAUUUGUUGGUUUUUAGGAUUGACGUAAUGAUUA
rnacentral:rRNA from 1 species